rnacentral:rRNA from 1 species
CCGGUGUCAAACCGGAGGAAGGUGGGGAUGACGUCAAGUCCUCAUGGCCUUUAUGACCAGGGCUACACACGUACUACAAUGGCCGGUACAAAGGGCAGCGACACAGCGAUGUGAAGCGAAUCCCGAAAAAGCCGGUCUCAGUCCGGAUUGGAGUCUGCAACUCGACUCCAUGAAGUUGGAAUCGCUAGUAAUCGCGGAUCAGCACGCCGCGGUGAAUACGUUCCCGGGCCUU